AGUGAACGCUGGCGGUAGGCCUAACACAUGCAAGUCGAACGGCAGCACAGUAAGAGCUUGCUCUUACGGGUGGCGAGUGGCGGACGGGUGAGGAAUACAUCGGAAUCUACUUUUUCGUGGGGGAUAACGUAGGGAAACUUACGCUAAUACCGCAUACGACCUACGGGUGAAAGCAGGGGAUCUUCGGGCCUUGCGCGAUUGAAUGAGCCGAUGUCGGAUUAGCUAGUUGGCGGGGUAAAGGCCCACCAAGGCGACGAUCCGUAGCUGGUCUGAGAGGAUGAUCAGCCACACUGGAACUGAGACACGGUCCAGACUCCUACGGGAGGCAGCAGUGGGGAAUAUUGGACAAUGGGCGCAAGCCUGAUCCAGCCAUACCGCGUGGGUGAAGAAGGCCUUCGGGUUGUAAAGCCCUUUUGUUGGGAAAGAAAAGCAGCAGGUUAAUACCCCGCUGUUCUGACGGUACCCAAAGAAUAAGCACCGGCUAACUUUGUG
rnacentral:rRNA from 1 species